CAAGCUUUUUGCUCCCAAACCAAAACUCCAGGGACUUUGCAACCACAACUGAGUUCCUGAGUCACCCCCAUUCGUCGGCCAAAUCUACCCAACUCCGGCCAUCUCGCUUCAAUAGCUCGCACCCAUAGCUCCUCCACUCCUUGGCUUUGUCCUCAACCACUCCUUGCCAUGCGCCGUCCACGGAGCUGCCGGCAAUCAAAGUUUUCCCAAACCACCAGAAGCUUUCCACCCGCCGCCGUCUACCCCAACGUGGCGCCCCAUCUUCCUGCCUGCCUGCUCCUCAACCAACGGUGCAAAUGGAGCUUAGAAGCUAACCUCAUCGACGGAAUGUAUGAGCUCAGCCUGGAACACGAAGAAGGACACCCUCCUGCUGAGCUGAACGUAAUCAAGGCCC